rnacentral:rRNA from 1 species
UUGAACGCUGGCGGCAUGCCUUACACAUGCAGGUCGAACGGUAACGGGCCUUCGGGUGCCGCCGAGUGGCGAACGGGUGAGUAAUACAUCGGAACGUGCCCGAUCGUGGGGGAUAACGAGGCGAAAGCUUUGCUAAUACCGCAUACGAUCUACGGAUGAAAGCAGGGGACCGCAAGGCCUUGCGCGGACGGAGCGGCCGAUGGCAGAUUAGGUAGUUGGUGGGAUAAAAGCUUACCAAGCCGACGAUCUGUAGCUGGUCUGAGAGGAUGAUCAGCCACACUGGGACUGAGACACGGCCCAGACUCCUACGGGAGGCAGCAGUGGGGAAUUUUGGACAAUGGGCGCAAGCCUGAUCCAGCCAUGCCGCGUGCAGGAUGAAGGCCUUCGGGUUGUAAACUGCUUUUGUACGGAACGAAAAGCCUUCUUUUAAUACAGGAGGGUCAUGACGGUACCGUAAGAAUAAGCACCGGCUAACUACGUG